UUCCAACAAAAAUUACUGCUGUAUACGGUAUUUUUCUUGUUUUUUCAACAGUGACUCAUUAUAUAUAUUUAAAUGACUUUUUUUUAUUUUUUGUCUUUUUUUAGGCAGAAAUAAAAGAAAUUCAAGAAGAAAACUGGAAUCUUUAUUUACAGAUAGAUUUGCUUAAGGUAUUAUAUAUUUUUUUAUUAAUAUUUUAAUUUUCUAUUUAGCGUAUUAAUUAAACAUAAUAAAAAUUAAUUUCAGUUUAUUAUAAAAGCCUGUCAUAAUUACUAUUUAUUCAUGCUUAUAGGAAAACUUAAAUAUUUUGGAAGAAAAAUGUAAUCAGUUACAGAAUUUUAAUGAAGUAAUUCACCAUAAAGUUUUUUUAGCACAAUAAUAUCUAACUCUCUUCUAAUCAUGUAUAUGUACAUACACAUGUAUAUAUUGUGUUACAUUUUAUAAUGCUUAUAUUUGUUUUUUUGCUUUUUAGGAUAAAAAUAAAAACAUUGACAUUUUAAAUAAGGAAGUACGGGACUUAAAGGUAAAAAUAAAAAAAUAAACCAAUAAAUAAAUCAAUAAAUAAAUCAAUAAAUAAAUCAAUAAAUAAAUCAAUAAAUAAAUAGAUAAAUAGACAAAUAAAUAAAUAAAUAUAUAUAUAUACGUAUGUGAACGGAAUGACAUUGCAUUCGUUUUAAUGUUUUUGUUGGAUAAUAUAAUAUUUUGUUUAUUUGUUUUGCCUUUUUCGGUGGGAUAAUUGGUUUUUUACUAUAUAUAUUUAUUAGGAUAAGAAAACGAUAUAUGCAAUAGAAAUUGACAAAAUUUUAAUAGAAAAAAAUAAUAUAAGAAUUGAAAGGGAAGAAUUUGAUAAAUCUAAAACAGAAUUUAAAAUAAUAGAAGAAAAGUUUUAUGAAGAAAAAAUAGAAUUUGAAAAGAACAAAGAUGAGUUUUUAAAGGAAGCAGAACAACUACAGAAAUGUAUAGACACAUUGGAAAAAGAAAAACAAGAAAUAUUGGAAAAUAAAAAAGAGUUAGAAAAAGAUAAACAAAAACUAGAAGAAGAUAUACAAAAACUAGAAAAUGAAAAAGUUAAACAAGAAAAUAAUAUGAAAAAUAUCAUAAUAAAGUAUAACAAUUUACAAAAAGAACAUGAUAAUCUUAUAACUGAAAAUUCGAAUAAAGAACAUACGUUAUUAGAAAAGGAACAAAAAGUGAACAUAGUAGAAAAGAAGAACGAAAUAUACAAGGUUAAAUAUUCUAAAAAAAAAAAAAAAUAUAACAUACAUUGCGUUUAACUUAAUAUUAUAAUAAUUAUUGCUGUUGUUAUUGUUUUUAUUAUUAUUUUAUCAUUUUUAUAGAACAAUGUGACAUUCUUAGAUCAUAAAUUGCAGGAAUUACAAG
rnacentral:lncRNA from 1 species